GCAGCUGCCUCCCGCUCAGUCAGUGAGACUGCGCAGUAGCUUACUGCGGAGCUCAACGUGGAGGAGGAAGGAAGGAAAAUUCAAAGAUGCCACGUAAAGAAAGACGGCAGAAACAAAAAAGAAAAGAAUUGAUAGAUGCAGCAAAAGGUAGUGGAUUGUUGACCGACUGGGUCAGAACGAGUACUGCAGGUACGAACAAAAAAAAAAAAUGUUCUUAACAUUAUCAACAUGUAACUUUUGGUAGUGAACAAUAUAUUUAAUAUUACAGGGCAUCUGUUGUGUUUUUCUUAUGCUAAGAUGUACUAAAUUUAGGUGUAGAAUAAUGAUUAGUUUGUUUCUUGCUCCCAGAUGGACAGAAGGAAAGUGAUAGAUCAGAGGAGGAGACAAAAAUGCAGUCAACAACACAGGAAGACAGGCAAGGAGAGGGACAACAGUCAGAAAUCAAAGACACAGAAAUGCAGUCAACACAGGAAGACAGGCAAGGAGAGGGACAACAGUCAGAAAUAAACACUAUGGAUGAAAAUGCAGAGCAACAAGUCAGAGAGAAGCCAUUCAUAUUUUUAAUGGACCUUCCACACCCAAAUGACCCAGCACAUGUCUUGCAAUUCAACAUAAAAUAUGAUGAAGCAUUUAUCCAAAAUUGUGUAAACCAAGGACCAUGCCAACCAGAGCUGUCAUUUCCUAAAAAUGAAGAAGGAAGGUCUUUUCAGAAUAAAUGGUAUAAGAGUAA